UACGUAGGGCGCGAGCGUUGUUCGGAGUUACUGGGCGUAAAGCGUGCGUAGGCGGUUGUCUAAGUUUGGUGUGAAAUCUCCUGGCUUAACUGGGAGGGUGCGCCGAAAACUGGGUGACUGGAGUGUCGGAGAGGUAAGCGGAAUUCCUGGUGUAGCGGUGAAAUGCGUAGAGAUCAGGAGGAACACCUGUGGUGUAGACAGCUUACUGGACGAUAACUGACGCUGAGGCACGAAAGCGUGGGUAGCAAACAGG
rnacentral:rRNA from 1 species